GCUAUACCAGGCGGGAAAAUUGGCCAGUGGAACAUCCACUCUUGAGUUCUAUAGAGGAUUAGUGGUGGGAAAGUGUGAUGACGCACUCGGAGAGGUACUGGGAGUCGACGAAGUUCAACUGACCAGACUGGACUUUCGAGCCUGGGACGAUGGAUAACUUCUAGAAAUCCCUCGCUUGGCAGUGCUAUCGGAGGGCUCUGCUGGUUCGAGAUAAACCCUAAAAGCACAAAAGUGCUGUCAGAGAUGCACUUUUGAAAGUUUCUCGAUUUCUUUUAGAGACUCGUUGUCAUCUGCUGGUAUCGAUACAUCAAUUAGAAAGCAUUUUUUUUCUUCAUGAUCUCUGACAACUAUAUCUGGCCUUAAUUUGUCUAUUAUUAUUAUUAUUAUUAUUAUUAUUAUUAUUAUUAUUAUUAUUAUUAUUAUUAUACUGUAAAAGGAACUAUCAUAUCAAUGGACUGGUGACAUUUAUACUUUUGUGAUAUUUUGUAAAGUACUGCUACACUGCUUUAAAUAUUACAUGUACUGAUGAAAUGAGGUGCAUGUUAUAUGCUUGUAUAUUUUUUAUGCCAUCAGAUACCGUAAAAACGCUUAAGCUAAUUUUGAAGCAAUACAAAUAAUAAAAAAUAAAUGGUGACAUAGUACAUAAUCGCAACACGUUUUUUGUUUGAUGAUUUCAAAUUUUUAAAUUUCUAAAUUUUUCUUUUGCUUUUCUUUUACAGAUUUUGUCAAAAACUUUGCGGAAACAAACCACCACAGCAUGCUCGCACUACAGCAUUCUAACAUCAGGACUGGAAAAAUUGUAGAAAUAUUAACAGUUGUAGGAAAUCUCAGCAUUAUACUUACUACACAGAUCAUUUCGGUGUUGUGAAAUAACUGUACAAAUCAAUAGUAACUAGGACAUGGUGAGCUCCAGCGAGUCGAAUUCAUAAAAUGGUUUCGCAUCCUUGUUUCGCUAUUUCACUUCACUAAUAUUGCUGAAACUCUUAUUAAAGGCUUCAAUGCCAUACAAUUUCUUAUUCUUUACCAAUGAGUUUGUGGCCAUUUAUUUAAAUAAAAAUGUUCACAGCUUCCACCAAGAUAUAGCUAGACAAUAUAUUGCCAUAAACCUCUCAGAACAUCACAUAGACUUUAUCUCAAAGAAUAGUUAAAAUCUCAAAGAAUAGUUAAAUUUCCUUAACAACUGACAAAAAAAUUGGUAAAGAAUAUCGCGUUCUUCAGUGUAAACUAAUUCUUGUUACGUUUUCUUUGAGUGCUCCCAAAACCAGAUCCAAAGUACAAUAAUGAAUUUUUCCUUCGUAAAAAUAUUUCUAAAAUCAUGACUCGCACCACUCAAGUUUAAUAAAAAUGGUUACAUCACUUAUAAUAAUGGUGUUUCGGUUUUCAUUUUUAUAUUUCCAUUAUAUGUCUGUUAUAUAUCUAUUGUAUGUCCAUUAUAUGUUUAUUCCAUUAGCAAUUAUAUAAAGCUGAGUCUUGAACACAAGUAAUGCACCU
rnacentral:lncRNA from 1 species